GGAGAGAGCGGAGGAGGGAGCGGGUGAGGCGCCGGAGUCCGCGCUCGGCCCGGGAGUGGCAGCCCGAUUGUCCGAGGAUUAAAAAGUAAGCAGCAUUGUUUGUUGGAGAGCCCUACAGAAAGUGGGAACAGCUUAGUCUUACUUUGUGCUGCUUUAGCGUGGCAACAGUCUCUUCUUCGUGGGAAGCCAGCGGAUGAAAGCUUAAGCAAAAAAGCUGAAGUACCAUUGUCACGUCGUUGUACGUGCCAUUCAAAGAAUUUUACAAACGAUGGCGAGGACCGAGGAACUUCACGUCAUUUCAACAGUCCAAGUAUACCACCUUCUGAAAGAAAUGGCACUUCAUCAACUUGUCAAGAGGUUGUUUUCUGACAGCGCGUCCGGUGUGAUCGUGGCUUCCGGGAAGAGGAUUGGCUGAAUGCCUCACUCCACCAUUCGGUGUGUCCUGCCGCCCCACGCCAAUCACUUUCUGAAGGCGCAUCCUUUCAGCAAUCUGAGGACCCAAGAUUGUGAGUCUGUGUCCUGGAGUGAUUUUGAGAAGAGCUCGUGGGAUGGCAGUAUUGCAAAGCAUAAAGUCUUGCUUCCAGAAAGCUCUCUGGGAUCCUCAGCAUCUUGCUGUUUUGGAGUCAAAGCCCUGAGAUCUUUAAAAAGCCAGCAAUGUUAGAACAUGGGCAGGACAAACAAAAGUCUCUGGGCUCCAACACCAAAUAAAAUAUUCUGAAUUUCUAGUAACCUGAGACGAGUGGAAAGGAAUUGGGCGUGUGGAGUGGAGGUGCGGUUUGGGCCAACUAC